rnacentral:sRNA from 1 species
GCCAAGCAUGGUGGCAUAUACCAGUAGUCCUAGUUACUCAGGAGGCUGAAAGAGGAAGAUUACUUGAGCCCAGGAGUUGAAGACCAGCCUGGGCCACAUAGCAAGACCCCCUUCUC